rnacentral:rRNA from 1 species
GACGGCCAUACCAUGCUGAAUAUACCGGUUCUCGUUAGAUCACCGAAGUCAAGCAUCAUUGGGCGCGGUCAGUACUUGGGUGGGGGACCACCUGGGAACACUGUGUGCCGUU